rnacentral:rRNA from 1 species
GAUGAACGCUGGCGGCGUGCUUAACACAUGCAAGUCGAACGAAGCACUUUUAAUUCUUCGGAAGAGAAAGUGACUGAGUGGCGGACGGGUGAGUAACGCGUGGGUAACCUGCCUUAUCCAGGGGGAUAACAGUUAGAAAUGACUGCUAAUACCGCAUAAGCCGAUAGAGUCGCAUGACUGAGUCGGAAAAGAUUUAUCGGUAUAAGAUGGACCCGAGUCUGAUUAGCUAGUUGGUGAGGUAAUGGCCCACCAAGGCGACGAUCAGUAGCCGGUUUGAGAGAGUGAACGGCCACAUUGGGACUGAGACACGGCCCAAACUCCUACGGGAGGCAGCAGUGGGGAAUAUUGCACAAUGGGGGAAACCCUGAUGCAGCAACGCCGCGUGAAGGAAGAAGUAUUUCGGUAUGUAAACUUCUAUCAGCAGGGAAGAAAAUGACGGUACCUGACUAAGAAGCCCCGGCUAACUACGUGCCAGCCGCCGCCGUAA